CCCCCACCCUUGACUCUCAGCCCAUGUCCAGUCAGGUGAGGUGCCCAGAGUACCUCCCGAGCAGCACCACCGCCUUGCUGACAGUGACUGUGUGUCCCCCUAGCAACCCUCGAUGAUGUUGUGGAGGCCGGCGGGAGUGAGAAGACGGAGGAAGAGGCCCUGGCUGGGGCAAAUGAGGAGGAGGUGGGGCCGGGAACUGAGAAGGUGCAGGAGGAGGCUGCCUGCAUUGACGAGGCAGAGGAGGAGGCAGGCCCAUCCCUUGAAAAUGACGAGGAGUCCCCAGCCAGCGACCUGGUUGAGCAGGAAGACCAGCUUGCCCCCAAGGUGGACGGGAUGGACGAUGAAAGCCUAUGUUUCAUGGAGAGUCUGAGUGACAGCAACCAUGAUGAAAGUGAUACAGGUAAGAACAGCUCUCAGGUAGGAGCCAAUGGGAGAGGGAUCCCGGGACACUUGGGUGACGCCUGCUGCUUGGAGUGUGGGGCAGGUGAGUCUGAAACUUAAAAACAGAAAGAAAUUGAUGUAAAGAUGUUCACCGCCUACUUUAAUAAGGAGAGGGAGCAGAUAUGAGAUGCCUGAAUGUUGGCAUCUGUGCUCACCUUGUGUGGAAGGGUCUCAGUCCAUGGAGCAGAGGGAAGGUCUGGGCACCUGGAGGAAAAACCAGGGUGAUGCUCUGUACCCGUAGUCACCUCAGGGAAGCCGGAGAAACGGGAGGGCCACUCUUUCUAACUCCUUGAUUCCCCUGAUGGUGUGUUUCUACAGACUCAGUGGUGGAGAGCCUGAGCAGCCGCCAGGAUGAGGAGGCUGCAGGUAGGGAAGAGCACGCAGCUGGGAUCCAGUGGGAGAGGGUUCCUGGGAGCACCUGGGUUCCGCCUGCUGCCGGGAGAGGGAGGAAGUGGGGG
rnacentral:lncRNA from 1 species